rnacentral:rRNA from 1 species
UACGUAGGGGGCAAGCGUUGUCCGGAUUUAUUGGGCGUAAAGAGCGUGUAGGCGGCCGAGUAAGUCCGGUGUGAAACUACGAGGCUUAACCUCGAGAUGUCAUCGGAAACUAUUCGGCUAGAGUCCGGAAGAGGAGAGUAGGAAUUCCUGGUGUAGCGGUGAAAUGCGCAGAUAUCAGGAAGAACACCUAUGGCGAAAGCAGCUCUCUGGGACGGUACUGACGCUGAGACGCGGAAAGCGUGGGGAGCGAACAGG